AAUCUGCGGAGCGAGGUGAGUGCGAGGGUGUAGCCUUUGGGCUUCGAUGCCUUCCAGGCCCCUCUGAUGGGGCGCAAUCCUCGCGUACACUCUACCCUGCACCCUUCUCUCGGAGUCAGCUUGGGGAGAGCCUGAAGCAGUGCCCAGACCACUUGGCAGGUUAGCGGGUCGCUUGUCCCUCUAAGGGUGCCUCUGCUCGCUGCGCGUCCUCCUGAGCUUCUUCAUUUACCAGCGCCUCCUGUGUGUUGGUGCUGGCAGGCUCCUUGCUGUGCACAAAGCUCGUUCCAGGGCCAGGUCUCAUCACGGUCUUGGCUUUUCCUUUAUUAGACACUUUCAAAGCACCAAAUUCUCUGUAGAUUUUAAAAUGUACCAGUGUUUUAAAAUCGGAGACACAAUAAUAUAAUAAUAAUUAAUAUAAUUAAUAAGAUGACUUGUUAAUUAUAAACAAUUGCAUCCAAUUAAGUUUUUUCUAAAGUUCCAGAACAUUUAAGACCUCAUACUUAGGAUUUUUAUAUACACAGAUUUUACUUUGUAUUGCUGUCAGUAUCACUAUAGACCGAAGGAGAAGGGAAAGGCAGGAAAACCACUGCACUGAGUUCCCAGUCUUUAACAGGACUUCCCUGCUGGCAGAUUGUCAGGCCCUUCCUUCACAGAGAAGAGGCUAACCAUAUUUUAACAUUCCAAGCUGCUACUGAAAAAGUCAGAGUUGCAAAAGAUCCCAGGCAUUGCAGCUGCAAGAGACCCCAGAUGCUAUAACCGUAAGUAAUCCCUCCGACAGCUUCUACAGCUGCAAGUGCCAACAGCAGAGUUUACAUAAAGCAUUGCGAAAGCCAACCUCGGCAAGUUACACACCCAAGCACGUUAUUAUAGCUCCAGAAAGUAAAGGCACAGAAUUUUAAAAUGCAAGGAGUCUGUGUGUUUAGCCAUGAAACGAAUGGCAUUACAUGCUUCUGACCUCCCCUCUCAGUCAACAGUACUUGUUAGGGCAAAUGAACUCCUUUCUGCUGAGCUGAGGUCUUCAAGAAACCGUAGACAAACAGCAAUCUGGCCCUCACACAGGUAAUCACUGAUUACCCAGGGUGGCCCAGAGCUCGCUCUAGCCCAGGCUGACCUUGAGUUUGGAGAACUUCUGCCUCAGCCUCUCAAGUAGCUAGAUCCAGUCAGUCCUGUGCCACGAAGUCUGGCUUUUUGUAUUUUGUAUUCACAAUUAGAUGUGUGCUUCUGGUUUAACACAUACCUCUUCCUGCUGUUAAGUUCUAUAAUGGCAGGGGCAAAGUCUUGAUAACUGCCCAGCCCUUGAUGCCUGUUCACAAUAAAUAUUGUCAAUUUUGUAGAAACUAAGGUCCUCUUCUAAUGAGCACUUUGACUUUAUGAGUAAAGCAGAUACGAGCCAGCAUUUCAGCAGAGAAGUCAUCCGAGAUUGUGGACCCUGGAGUCAGACCUAUAAUUCCAGCACUCAGGUGGUGGAGGCAGGAGGAUCACAUCGUUAAAGACCAGCUCAAAUAUGAGCCCCUGGCUCAAGAAACAAAAACAACAACAAAAAUAACACUCCAGAUGACCCCACAAGCCACAUUAAGAUGGGACGAGUUGCAUAUAUUGAAACAGUGGGAAUUUCCAGUAUAGCAUGCUGUGAAGGCGGGGCUGACAAUGCUGGGAUCUACUCUAAAGGUGCAGUGCAUUGUUACUUAUUAAAUGAUCAAGCAGUAACAUUCUGACACAAUUACAUUCCAGUGCAAAUAACUUAGUAAUAACAGCCUGCCUCAGCCAGUAGAGGGUUGGUUACCCAGAAGCGCUCUGGAGGUUCCCUCUUGGUUAGGGGCCAAGGAGUCACCUUCCAGAAGUGGGGGCCCCGGCUUGCUCCCAGGCUCAGCGCCUCCCACCUGUACUCUUUCACCAUCUGCUGGUUGACACCUCCCUGCAGCUUUCCUGAUCAGAACCAGCUACUUUAUACCCUUGCAGACAGAUCUGCUUCCUCUCACUCGUAUCCUAACAAGUGUGAGUGCUACCCUGAAACACUGGACUGCCUCUCUCUACAGUCUGUCUUCUGUGAGAGGAUGGGUGUCAGGCCUGGACUUGCCUUUAGUGACUGUUCUCUUGGUAUGUUUUUCACAGUGACUCCUAUUCUAUAACCCGUUCCUUGUAAAGAGGGAUUUGCUUCUGACCUUGACUAUCUUACUGGGACAGUUUGUUUUGUUUUGUUUUGUUUUGUAUAUAUAUAUAUGUGUGUGUAUAUAUAUAAUUUUUAAUAUUUUUUAUUACAUAUUUUCCUCAAUUACAUUUAGAAUGCUAUCCCAAAAGUCCCCCAUACCCCCCUCCACUUCCCUACCCACCCAUUCCCAUUUUUUUUGGCCCUGGCAUUUCCCUGUACUGGGGCAUAUAAAGUUUGCGUGUCCAAUGGGCCUCUCUUUCCAGUGAUGGCCGACUAGGCCAUCAUUACUGGGACAGUUUUGACAAGUGUUUUUAAAAAGAUGAUUUGGGUUGGAAAGGUAGUUUGUUCCUGCAGUUCUCAAGAGAUGGGGCAUGUCCUGAUAGGAGAGCCUCAGAGUCAGAGGGCAGAAAGCGCAAGGGGAAAUGGGAAGAAUCUUGCCUGUGGUUGCUAUAGGAGGGAUCAGGUGAAGCAGCAGUGCAUUCUGGGAGAUGAGGAUUUCCCUGCUUGUUUGGUGUUGACCUUGAAGAGAAUAGUAUAGGAAAUUAAUGGUCUUGAGGGUGAGAGCCUCACCGAGAACUUGGGAAGAGGGGAUUCUGGGUCUGUUCGUUUUCAAGGAAUGUCCACACUGAAUUGCUUACUGCUGUGGGACUGGCUAGCCCUGGAAGAGACUGUGUGAAAGCAUCAACAUAAAAAGGUGUGCUUAACAUACUGUGCAGCCCUAGCUACUGUAGUUAUAGUAGUAACUCUUUCCAGGAGAGGGAAUGGAAUUCCAGAAUCUCACCAUGAUUACCUGACUGACUGAUUAAGAUCGUUUGACUUCAACGCUAGUGCUUUUUUGUGAGCUACAUCACUACUUGAAACCUGCUAACUGCCGUGGGAAUGUUUCUCAGUUUGUAUUAGGUACCUGACCGUGUUGAUCAGUGCAUCUUUGAAAUUAUUUUUUGAUUAUGGCACAUGUAACUAUAUAUGUAUGUAUGUGCAUAUUAUAUGCACACAUACUUAUAUAUACAUGUGCAUAUAUAUUUUCAGUAUUAUAAUCCUGUAUAUAACUUACAGUGUCAUGUGAUUCAUUGGGUUGAGUGAUAGAAAUACAGUAGUGAGCCAAAACAAUGUAGUUUGUGUAGUCAUGGACAAGACCAGAAGUCCCAUUAAGAUGUGUGAAUUAAUUUAUGUAUUUUAUUUAUGUGUGUGAGCCCGUGUGAGUUUAUGUGGAUCAUGUGCAUGGGAGUCCUUGGAACUAGAGUAAUAGAUGGGUGUGAGCCACUAUGUGGGUGCUAGGAACUGAGCCUGGGUUCUUUGUAAGAGCAAUAAGUGUGCUUAACCAUCUCUAGUUCACCUUCCCCAUACCAGCACAGUGUAGUUCUUGACAAAAAGCCAAGUGCUUUGAGAGAAAUGCAGAUCCCUUUACCCAUGUCUUUUAUGGUUUCUUGACUAAGUUAGGGUUCUCAGCAUUGACAUCUCAGGAUCAUUUGUGGAUUGUGCUACAGAUGUAGUUAUUGGGAUCUGAUUUAGGAGCGUCUGUCUAAGCUAGAACACAGCCCGAGUGAAUGAGAUGAGUACAUUAAAGAGGGCUUCAUCCUAAAAGGUUUGUGUUUCUAAAAAAAAUAGCCAGAGGCACAUGAAGAGCACAUAUAUAGCAUUCUUAUUAAUAAUACACCCAGCUGACAGCCAGAAUCAACUGUUAGCUAGUGAGUGUUGCACUGUGGAAACCUAGCCUAACCCAUAUAUUUUAUACAUACACACACAUAACACACACACACAUUUUUAUUUACAUUUGAGAUGCAAAUAAAGAAAAUAUCUAAUUAAGAAAAUAAAUAAAUUUCUUAUCAUGU
rnacentral:lncRNA from 1 species